rnacentral:rRNA from 1 species
UACGUAGGGGGCGAGCGUUGUCCGGAAUCAUUGGGCGUAAAGCGCGCGUAGGCGGUGCCGUGCGUCGGCCGUGAAAGCGCCGGGCUCAACUCGGCGAGGUCGGGCGAUACGGCGGCACUAGAGGCCGGUAGAGGGUCGUGGAAUUCCGGGUGUAGUGGUGGAAUGCGUAGAGCUCCGGAGGAACACCAGAGGCGAAGGCGGCGGCCUGGGCCGGACCUGACGCUGAGGCGCGAAAGCGUGGGGAG